AGGGAAGUCACACCAGUCUUCACUGAAAAUAUGAGAACUGUGUUCAAGGCCAUAUAGGAAUGUCUGGAGGAUUCCAUUUCAUGGCGUUCUAAGAAGUCAUCAUUCAGUUGGAGGCUUACGGAAGCUGAAAUAAUUUAUCACCAGCAGACCUACACUAUAAAAAGGGUUAAAGUCCUAAUGACAGAAGAAAAAAUACAUGAGAUAGAAAUAAGAUCUACAUAAAACAAUAGAAACCACUGGAAAUUGUUAGA